rnacentral:rRNA from 1 species
GACGAACGCUGGCGGCGUGCUUAACACAUGCAAGUCGAACGGAAAGGCGCUGCUUUUGUGGGGUGCUCGAGUGGCGAACGGGUGAGUAACACGUGAGUAACCUGCCCUUGACUUUGGGAUAACUUCAGGAAACUGGGGCUAAUACCGGAUAGGAGCUCCUGCUGCAUGGUGGGGGUUGGAAAGUUUCGGCGGUUGGGGAUGGACUCGCGGCUUAUCAGCUUGUUGGUGGGGUAGUGGCUUUCCAAGGCUUUGACGGGUAGCCGGCCUGAGCGGGUGAACAGCCACAUGGGUACUGAGAGACGGCGCAGACGCCUACCUGAGGCAACAGGGGGAAGUAUUGCGCAGUGGGCCGAAGCCUGAUGCAGCAGCGCUGCGAUCGUAAUGACGUGCUUCUGGUUGUAAACCGCUUUCGCCGUUGACGAGGCGUGAUUGACGGUAACGAGUAAAAAAGCACCGGCUAACUACGUG